GAAUGUGUGUGUGUGUGUGUGUGUGUGUUCCCAUCCCACGGGGGCUGCUGUGGUGAAAGCGAAGCUGAAACCGGAUCUGGAGUCUGUCUCUGGAGACGCACUUGGGACUUGUGCCCUCGUAACAGGUGCGCUGUGUGUGUCCGAGGAGAGAGGGGAGAGGGCGAGUCGGGGGCGAGGCAGAGGGGGAGAGGAAGAGGUCGGUACUCUGACAAUAUGGCUGUUGGUCAGAGAAGGACGUCAGAGAGCCAACUGGCAUGAGGGCCCUAACAAACACACACAUCUGCCUGCCAGCCACAGACACACACAUCCCCGGUUCUAGUGAUCACAUCUGAAUUGGACGAUCUCCUGCUGCGACUUCAUGUGUGAAGAAUUCCCGAAUCAUACAGAACCAGAAACCGAGAAACCGAUGAGGCAACAAAGACAGAGCAGAGAGAAUCUUGGCUUUGAUUUCACCCAAAAAGUUCAAAUUGAUAAAGCUCCCUUUUCACAUGGUG